UCUGGUUUGUGGGUACAGACCUAUUUAUGUAAAGCAAUUUAAAGCAGUUCGCCAUUUAGCGUUAUCUUCAGAUAUCACUUCUUCAAGAAUUCCUUCUAAUUAGUUCCCAUAAGUAAAACUGCCAAACAGACCUCAAAACAAUUUUUGGUAUCUAAUAAUUAGAGGAAUAUUCAAUGUCAGGUUCAAUGACUGGUUUAGUAAAAUGGUUUAACAGCGAUAAAGGUUUUGGCUUUAUCUCCCCUAAAGAUGGCAGCAAAGAUGUGUUCGUUCACUACUCUGCUAUUCAGGGCACCAAUUUCAAAACUUUAGAAGAAGGUCAAGAAGUUUCAUUUUCAAUCGAAAAUGGCGCGAAAGGCCCAGCAGCAGUAAACGUUGUUGCUAUCUAAUUUUAUUGAGUUAAUUGUCUUCUGUUGAUUAACUGUUU
rnacentral:sRNA from 1 species